CGCGGCGCAGAGCUGGGGCUGCGCGGGGCCGGGCGAGCGGGACCAGGCGGGAGCCAUGGACCGCUAGGGCCCGGCCUAGCCCCGCGAUGCCGCCGGCGAGUGGCCCCAGUGUCCUCGCGCGGCUGUUGCCGCUGCUGGGGCUGCUGCUCGGCAGCGCCUCCCGGGCUCCCGGCAAGUCGCCGCCGGAGCCCCCCAGCCCGCAGGAGAUCCUGAUCAAGGUGCAGGUGUAUGUGAGCGGGGAGCUGGUGCCCCUGGCCCGGGCCUCAGUGGAUGUGUUUGGGAACCGGACUCUGCUGGCAGCUGGCACCACAGACUCAGAGGGUGUGGCCACCCUGCCCCUCAGUUAUCGCUUGGGCACCUGGGUGCUGGUCACUGCUGCCCGCCCUGGCUUCCUCACCAACUCUGUGCCCUGGCGUGUUGACAAGCUGCCCUUGUAUGCGUCUGUCAGCCUCUACCUGCUCCCUGAGCGGCCGGCCACGCUCAUCCUCUAUGAGGACCUGGUGCACAUUCUCCUAGGCUCUCCUGGUAAGGCUCCCCCUCACCCACGCCAACUCUUCUUCCUUCCCCUGACCUGGGUGUAGAGACCUCCACUGUCCUAUAUUAGCUGGGUGUCCUUGGGCAAGUCACUUCACCUCUCUGAGCCAUAAUUUGCUCAUCUGUAAGAUGUGGAAGGUUAGUGCCUACAUCAUCAAAUUGGAGUAAGAAAUCACAAAGUGAAAAAACACAGUACAGAAGGUGUUCAAUAAAUGUUUACAGUU
rnacentral:sRNA from 1 species